rnacentral:rRNA from 1 species
ACGAACGCUGGCGGCAGGCCUAACACAUGCAAGUCGCGCGAGGACUUCGGUCCUAGCGGCGGACGGGUGAGUAACGCGUGGGAACGUGCCCUUUGCUUCGGAAUAGCCCUGGGAAACUGGGAGUAAUACCGGAUGAGCCCUUUGGGGGAAAGAUUUAUCGGCGAAGGAUCGGCCCGCGUUGGAUUAGGUAGUUGGUGGGGUAAUGGCCUACCAAGCCGACGAUCCAUAGCUGGUUUGAGAGGAUGAUCAGCCACACUGGGACUGAGACACGGCCCAGACUCCUACGGGAGGCAGCAGUGGGGAAUCUUAGACAAUGGGGGAAACCCUGAUCUAGCCAUGCCGCGUGAGCGAUGAAGGCCUUAGGGUUGUAAAGCUCUUUCAGCUGGGAAGAUAAUGACGGUACCAGCAGAAGAAGCCCCGGCUAACUCCGUG